AUUGAACGCUGGCGGCAUGCCUUACACAUGCAAGUCGAACGGCAGCACGGGAGCAAUCCUGGUGGCGAGUGGCGAACGGGUGAGUAAUAUAUCGGAACGUGCCCAGUCGUGGGGGAUAACGCAGCGAAAGCUGUGCUAAUACCGCAUACGAUCUCUGGAUGAAAGCGGGGGACCGCAAGGCCUCGCGCGAUUGGAGCGGCCGAUAUCAGAUUAGCUAGUUGGUGGGGUAAAAGCUUACCAAGGCGACGAUCUGUAGCUGGUCUGAGAGGACGACCAGCCACACUGGAACUGAGACACGGUCCAGACUCCUACGGGAGGCAGCAGUGGGGAAUUUUGGACAAUGGGCGCAAGCCUGAUCCAGCAAUGCCGCGUGCAGGAUGAAGGCCUUCGGGUUGUAAACUGCUUUUGUACGGAACGAAACGGCCCUUUCUAAUACAAAGGGCUAAUGACGGUACCGUAAGAAUAAGCACCGGCUAACUACGUGCCAGCCGCCGCGGUAAAAC
rnacentral:rRNA from 1 species